CCUGUAUGUAGCAGUCACAUAUAAUAUACUCUCUUGUAUGUAGCAGUCACAUAUGAUAUACUCUCCUGUACGUAGCAGUCACAUAUGAUAUACUCUCCUGUAUGUAGCAGUCACAUAUGAUAUACUCUCCUGUACGUAGCAGUCACAUAUGAUAUACUCUCCUGUAUGUAGCAGUCACAUAUGAUAUACUCUCUUGUAUGUAGCAGUCACAUAUGAUAUACUCUCCUGUAUGUAGCAGUCACAUAUGAUAUACUCUCCUGUAUGUAGCAGUCACAUAUGAUAUACUCUCCUGUAUGUAGCAGUCACAUAUGAUAUACGUUAUGUAGCAGUCACAUAUGAUAUACUCUCCUGUACAUAGCAGUCACAUAUGAUAUACUCUCCUGUAUGUAGCAGUCACAUAUGAUAUACUCUCCUGUACAUAGCAGUCACAUAUGAUAUACUCUCCUGUAUGUAGCAGUCACAUAUGA